rnacentral:rRNA from 1 species
UACGAAGGGUGCAAGCGUUACUCGGAAUUACUGGGCGUAAGCGUGCGUAGGUGGUUCGUUAAGUCUGAUGUGAAGCCUGGCUCAACCUGGAAUGGCAUUGGAAACUGGCGACCUAGAGUGCGGUAGAGGUAGGUGGAAUUCCCGGUGUAGCAGUGAAAUGCGUAGAGAUCGGGAGGAACAUCCGUGGCGAAGGCGGCUACCUGGCCCAAUACUGACGACUCAGGUGCGACAGCGUGGAGCAACAGG